UCCCCCACCAAAAUCCCUCUUCCUCUUCUUUCUUCCUCACCUUCGACAGCCAUUAGACUUCACAAGCAGGUUGUCGUCAUCCGAAAACCCCCUUUCUCCUCAAUUUUUGCUACUUCCUUUGUUUUCAAUAUUAUUAUCGCCGAUUUUCCACCACCGGUAAUGCUGAUCAAGCCACCACCAUUGCUAGCACCCUGCCGCACCACCAUCAUUGACCCCACCCCUCCAUCUUCCCCCUGGUUUCUUUGAGGAAUGCCAUCUCUUCGGCCUGGGAAGAGAGAAAGAAAGAACAAAGAGAGAGAGAGAACGAGAG
rnacentral:lncRNA from 1 species